rnacentral:rRNA from 1 species
GAUGAACGCUGGCGGCGUGCCUAAUACAUGCAAGUCGAGCGAACAGACGAGGAGCUUGCUCCUCUGACGUUAGCGGCGGACGGGUGAGUAACACGUGGAUAACCUACCUAUAAGACUGGGAUAACUUCGGGAAACCGGAGCUAAUACCGGAUAAUAUAUUGAACCGCAUGGUUCAAUAGUGAAAGACGGUUUUGCUGUCACUUAUAGAUGGAUCCGCGCCGCAUUAGCUAGUUGGUAAGGUAACGGCUUACCAAGGCAACGAUGCGUAGCCGACCUGAGAGGGGUAGCCGGCACACGGGAACCGGAGACCCGGCCAAACUCCCACGGGGGGGAACAAGGGGGAAAUCUCCCGAAAGGGCCAAAACCCGGACGGAGCACCGCGGGGGGGAUAAUAAAGGCUUCGGAUUCUAAAACCUUUUUAAUGGGAAAAAAAAAAUUGUGAAAGUACCUAUCCCCUUCUUCCGGUUCCCAAAUAGGAAACCCGGGCCUACCUCCGUC